rnacentral:rRNA from 1 species
UACGUAGGGACCAAGCGUUGUUCGGAUUUACUGGGCGUAAAGGGCGCGUAGGCGGCGCGGUAAGUCACUUGUGAAAUCUCUGAGCUUAACUCAGAACGGCCAAGUGAUACUGCAGUGCUAGAGUGUGGAAGGGGCAAUCGGAAUUCUUGGUGUAGCGGUGAAAUGCGUAGAUAUCAAGAGGAACACCUGAGGUGAAGACGGGUUGCUGGGCCAACACUGACGCUGAGGCGCGAAAGCCAGGGGAGCAAGCGGG